rnacentral:lncRNA from 1 species
UAGAGAGAGAGAGAGAGAGGAGACUUAAACAUGAGCUUACAAAUUAGAAAAACUAGAAGAAAUUACAUAAAGUAAGCAACACAAAAUAAUUAACCUAAUUAGGGUUGGUGUUGGUCUGAGGGCCACCACCACCACCUAUGAUCGGCCGCGGCGGUGCCCUAGGUGGCGCUACCCGCGCCGCCUGCGCCACCAGGGCGGAGGAAUUAGGCGGAUCCGGCUGGGCUUGGGUAGUUCCUCCGUCGUCGUAAGUGAAACCUAGACAGUUGAGCAGAGCCCUCAUGAAUUCUUGAAAAUAAUUGCAUGGAUUGUGAGAAAAAAGGUAGUCUUGAUCAUUACAUUUCUUCACCUCGUUAGCCUCGGAUUUCACCUCCAUAUUUUUGUGUGAUAUUAUUUUUUCUGCAGUCUCAAAUUUAUGGAAGGGUUGGGUAGGUGGUGUAGAAAUUUAAUGCAGCUGUGUCUGCUUAAAUAUGUUUUGACAUGUAUGUAUGUAUAUAAACAAGGAAAAACCACACACGCACACACUCUUUUUUUUUUUUUAAGAUUAUAUAUAUAUACUGUAUGUUUUCAGUGUUAAAG